GGAGAGGUCGCAUAGUUGGCCUAGUGCAGAAGUCUUGAAAACUUCCAGGUGUCAAAGCCUCGUGGGUUCGAAUCCCACCCUCUCCGCCA
rnacentral:tRNA from 1 species